AAAAAUAGAGCAUUCCAGGGGUAAAGUGUCAAAAAUACAGUUGAAAUGGUAACCAGUGCAAAAUUUGCAAGGCAUGAAUAGUGGUUGCUAAAUUUGGCAACGGGCACUAUUCACGCAGCACUAUUCACAGGCACUAUUCAUCUUCUUCUCCAAUGCUUACUUUGAAUUUGAGUUUUCAUUUUUAACGGUUUAAAAUUCAGAAAAAGGGUAUGGUUUUAAUGGAAACAUGAUUCUAAAUGCAAUGGAGUAAGUUUGGGAGCCUAAAACACAUUUCAAGAUAGAGAUUUUUGCAAAAAUGGUGGCUGGCCAUGUGGGUCUUUGAUUUGAAAAAAUGGAUUUUUGAAAUGGUUUUAAUGGAUGAAAAUGCAUGUUUAUGGUUCCUAAAACAUAGAAAUGACAUAAACAAGCAAUUUAAGGAGCCAAAAAUGGAGAAAAAUGAAAAAUUACUCACCUUGGAACAAUGAAGCACGCGGCCUAGAGAGGAAAUGCAAGGGGAAUAGUGUUUUAUGCAUGAAAAAUGAAGUUGAGAAGGCUUUAAAAAGGGUUUUUGGCCAUGAAAUUUUUUUUGAAAAUUUGUCUAAGUACGGGGAUGAAUUGAGGAGUGUUAAAACUACAAAAUUGAAGUUUGAAAAUGAAUUUAAAAAGAAUCAAAUCCUUGGUAAGCAUGAAGAAAAAAUUUCGUAAGGUGAAAAUUCACCUUGCCAAAUUUUCGCACUGGCUACUCCCCUUAAAAACCAAUCCCGAGAGGUUGCAUUUUGAUAUUUGCUUUGAAAACAAU
rnacentral:lncRNA from 1 species